CAGCCGCCGCGGUAAUACGUAGGGUGCGAGCGUUAAUCGGAUUUACUGGGCGUAAAGCGUGCGCAGGCGGCCCGUUAAGACAGGUGUGAAAUCCCUGGGCUCAACCUAGGAAUUGCGCUUGUGACUGGCGGGCUCGAGUACGGUAGAGGGGGGUGGAAUUCCUGGUGUAGCAGUGAAAUGCGUAGAGAUCAGGAGGAACACCGAUGGCGAAGGCAGCCCCCUGGGCCUGUACUGACGCUCAUGCACGAAAGCGUGGGGAGCAAACAGGAGUAGAUACCCUGGUAGUCCACGCCCUAAACGAUGGGUACUAGCCGUUUGGUGCGCGAUAGCGCUGAGUGGCGAAGCUAACGCGUGAAGUACCCCGCCUGGGGAGUACGGCCGCAAGGUUGAAACUUAAAGGAAUUGGCGGG
rnacentral:rRNA from 1 species